rnacentral:rRNA from 1 species
UACGUAGGGUGCGGGCGUUAAUCGGAAUUACUGGGCGUAAAGCGUGCGCAGGCGGUCUGUUAAGACAGAUGUGAAAUCCCCGGGCUUAACCUGGGAACUGCAUUUGUGACUGGCAGGCUAGAGUAUGGCAGAGGGGGGUAGAAUUCCACGUGUAGCAGUGAAAUGCGUAGAGAUGUGGAGGAAUACCGAUGGCGAAGGCAGCCCCCUGGGCCAAUACUGACGCUCAUGCACGAAAGCGUGGGGAGCAAACAGG